GACGAACGCUGGCGGCGUGCUUAACACAUGCAAGUCGAACGGUGAAGCGCCUUCCUUUUUGGUGGGUGUGGAUGAGUGGCGAACGGGUGAGUAACACGUGAGUAACCUGCCCCCUUCUUCUGGAUAACCGCAUGAAAGUGUGGCUAAUACGGGAUAUUCUGGGUCUGUCGCAUGAUGGGUCUGGGAAAGAUAUUGUUUCGGGGGGGGAUGGGCUCGCGGCCUAUCAGCGUGUUGGGGGGGUGAUGGCCUACCAAGGCGGUGGCGGGUAGCCGGCCUGAGAGGGUGGCCGGUCCAACGGGGACGGAGACACGGACCAGACUCCUGAGGGAGGCAGCAGUGGGGAAUAUUGCAGAAUGGGCGCAAGCCUGAUGCAGCGACGCCGCGUGAGGGAGGGAGGCCUUCGGGUUGUGAACCUCUUUCGCCAGUGAAGCAGGCCUGCCUUGUUUGUGGGUGGGUUGACGGUAGCUGGAUAAGAAGCGCCGGCUAACUACGUG
rnacentral:rRNA from 1 species